UUUAUGGAGAGUUUGAUCCUGGCUCAGGAUGAACGCUGGCGGCGUGCCUAAUACAUGCAAGUCGAGCGAACGGACGAGAAGCUUGCUUCUCUGAUGUUAGCGGCGGACGGGUGAGUAACACGUGGAUAACCUACCUAUAAGACUGGGAUAACUUCGGGAAACCGGAGCUAAUACCGGAUAAUAUUUUGAACCGCAUGGUUCAAAAGUGAAAGACGGUCUUGCUGUCACUUAUAGAUGGAUCCGCGCUGCAUUAGCUAGUUGGUAAGGUAACGGCUUACCAAGGCAACGAUGCAUAGCCGACCUGAGAGGGUGAUCGGCCACACUGGAACUGAGACACGGUCCAGACUCCUACGGGAGGCAGCAGUAGGGAAUCUUCCGCAAUGGGCGAAAGCCUGACGGAGCAACGCCGCGUGAGUGAUGAAGGUCUUCGGAUCGUAAAACUCUGUUAUUAGGGAAGAACAUAUGUGUAAGUAACUGUGCACAUCUUGACGGUACCUAAUCAGAAAGCCACGGCUAACUACGUGCCAGCAGCCGCGGUAAUACGUAGGUGGCAAGCGUUAUCCGGAAUUAUUGGGCGUAAAGCGCGCGUAGGCGGUUUUUUAAGUCUGAUGUGAAAGCCCACGGCUCAACCGUGGAGGGUCAUUGGAAACUGGAAAACUUGAGUGCAGAAGAGGAAAGUGGAAUUCCAUGUGUAGCGGUGAAAUGCGCAGAGAUAUGGAGGAACACCAGUGGCGAAGGCGACUUUCU
rnacentral:rRNA from 1 species